ACGGAGGGUGCAAGCGUUAUCCGGAUUCACUGGGUUUAAAGGGAGCGCAGGCGGACUGGUAAGUCAGUGGUGAAAGCCCUGGGCUCAACCCGGGAACUGCCAUUGAUACUAUCAGUCUUGAAUAUCGUUGAGGUUUGCGGAAUGGGUCAUGUAGCGGUGAAAUGCAUAGAUAUGACCCGGAACACCUAUUGCGAAGGCAGCAGGCUAAGCGAAGAUUGACGCUGAGGCUCGAAAGCGUGGGGAUCAAACAGGA
rnacentral:rRNA from 1 species